CACAGACACCAGCUUCUAGAACACACACUAACCCUGGACCACAGACACCAGCUUCUAGAACACACACUAACCCUGGACCACAGACACCAGCUUCUAGAACACACACUAACACUGGACAUCA